UACGGAGGAUCCAAGCGUUAUCCGGAAUCAUUGGGUUUAAAGGGUCCGUAGGCGGACCGGUAAGUCAGUGGUGAAAUCUCCCCGCUCAACGGGGAAACGGCCAUUGAUACUGCCGGUCUUGAAUUAUUAGGAAGUAACUAGAAUAUGUAGUGUAGCGGUGAAAUGCUUAGAUAUUACAUGGAAUACCGAUUGCGAAGGCAGGUUACUACUAAUUGAUUGACGCUGAUGGACGAAAGCGUGGGUAGCGAACAGG
rnacentral:rRNA from 1 species